GCUCGUCAUCUCAGCUUCUCAUUGUCCGGUGGACACUUCCUGCAUCUAAUCUGAUGCUUAUGAAAACUAUUUCCUCCUUUCAAAAGCACAAGCCCAAACAGAAACUAACCUCGCCCUGCAGAUCGAGGAUGUUUGUGCCGUUCCAGUUGUCGAACCCUCCCAGCUACGGCUUUAACUGUCAAGUAUUUUCCCAGCAGCUACAACAUGUCCGUUCCAGGAAGCAAAGUGAGAAAAGACUGUGGACUUCCUCUGGGCUGGUGGGAAGGAAGGAAGCAGCUGGAGCACCGGAGGGCCUUGGCUUUGGGAUCUGGAAAAGCAGUCGAAGCUCUGGAAACUCCAUUUCCUCGUUUCCUUGCGUGUUAAUUAGAGAUGGCAGUCCUGACUGGCAAACUGUCGGGAGGCAGAGCAGACUGGCCACCAAAUGAUGUUCAAGCCAGAUAGUUAGAAGACAGAUAAUUGUACUGGUAAUUUUGAAGAUCAGACUUAGAAAAAAAAAAAUUGUCAGUAACAAUACAAAGAACCCCUAUAUACCUUUUACAGGCUCUCCGAACAUUAAGUUACAACAAAAGCAUGCUGCAAUGAUCAAAAUCAGAAAAUAACCAUCUAGGGCUCUUAUAUUACCUAACCCUCAGCCCUCAUUCAAAUUUUACUAAGUGUCCUUUUCUGGCUCAGGAUGAAACAAUGAAUCUAUUGUCUGGAUCUCUCCAGUCCUCUUGAA